GAAUGGAUCAUCAGUAGUCUUAUAGGCCUUGCGGGGACUUUGCAACGAGCAUGUAUGUGAUGUUAUGUUAUGUUAUGUUAUGUGCAUGCCAUUGCAGAGCGCUCUGCCUCGCCCUUUGUCCUGUGAACCUUUCUUGCCUGCGUGCCUGCGUGCCUGCUUGCCUACUUGCCUACUUGCCUACUUGCCUACUUGCCUUUUUGGUGCUUGUGUGUCUCUUUGCAUUCUUGCAUCAGAACAAGGUGGAUACAGCAGCAGCAAGGAAGAACAAUGUACCGUGAUUAUUAUUAACAAACAAACACUAUGCAAAAUUACAACAAGUGACGGCAAGGGAUCAUUUGGCUCUUGUAACGAUGAAGAGCGCAGUGAGUUGCGAAACGUGAUGCGAUACGCAAAAUCUGUGAGACAUCUAGUUCUUGAACGCAGCAUGCACCGGCGGAGCAAUUUGCCGGUAUGUCUGUCUGUGCGCGUUGACCACCCUUCCGGGCAAUGCGGGGAACAUGGCGUGGCGUUGUGUGGUUGGCGGCGAAUUAAUUUAUUGGUUGCUGCUGGCUGGCGACCCAUGCAUGCCCCUGUCCGAGGGUGUCUUGCCUGUGUCUGUCUGCACCAUUUUCAACUUUGUUGAGAUUGUGCAGGCGGGCUGGGCGUGUUUGUGCUGCAUGGCCGCAGCAUCAAUCUCCGAGUGACUGCUGUGAAUAUAUAUACUCUUUUGUGUGUGUACAGCACGCAGGCCUCUUGCACGCGUCGGCUGCUAGCUGCUAGCGGUUGGUGGUGCACAUGCGGGUGUGUGCCUGGGGGCUGUCUUGCGAGGUGUUUGCGGUGUGGAAUGUUGCUGUUGCUGUGUUUGUUCGUGUGUAUGCACUUGCUCACUUGGCUUCACUCCAUUUCACUUCAAGCCCAACUUUCUCUCCUUUGCGGCUUCCAUGCAUGCACAUGCCCACAAUAAUCUCACACGCCUCAGAUCAGAUAAGAUUACCCGCUGAACUUAAGCAUAUCAAUAAGCGGAGGAAAAGAAACUAACAAGGAUUCCCCUAGUAACUGCGAGUGAAGCGGGAUCAGCCCAGACUUGUAAUCGGUGCCAGAUUGGCGCCGAGUUGUUGUCUGGAGCCUGGAUGUGCGUGUGUCGGUGGCCGCCCUAGCUGCUUUGGAAUAGGCGGUCGCAGAGGGUGACAACCCCGUGUGGGCGGCUGCGGGCACAUCCGCGCCAGGCUACGAGUCGAGUUGUUUGUGAUUGCAGCUCAAAGCGGGUGGUAAACUCAAUCUAAGGCUAAAUAUCGACAAGAGACCGAUAGCGAACAAGUACCGUGAGGGAAAAAUGAAAAGCACUUUGAAAAAAGAGUCAAAAGCACGUGAAAUUGCCGACAUGGAACCGAUUGGGCAGGCAUAGCCGGGCAUGCAUCGGUGGUGUUGGGGCUUUAAAAGUUGUUGGCGGCCCGAAAGGGCCCGUUCAAUGGCUUACUAAAGCCUCACCCACUUUUCUAUCCUGGACAGCAUACUUUCCUAGAGCGCUCCCACCUUGCCAGCUUCGCGCUGGCUGCGGGCUGUGCUCUAUGACAUGGUUACUUUAAAUGAGCUUGCCCAAACGACCCGUCUUGAAACACGGACCAAGGAGUUCAGCAGCCAUGCAAGUGCUACAGAUACCACACUGAAGCGCGCAGCGAAAGCAAGACACACCUUUGGGUGGGUGCAUGCCGCAUCAUCUGAGUGCAAGGCCCGUGGCCAGGUGCAUCAAGAUCGAGCAUGGAUGCUGAGACCCGAUAGAUGGUGAACUAUGCCUGGGUAGGGUGAAGCCAUGAGAAAUUUUGGUGGAAGCUCGCAGCGAUUCUGACGUGCAAAUCGAUCGUCAAAUCUGGGUAUAGGGGCGAAAGACUAAUCGAACCAUCUAGUAGCUGGUUCCCCU
rnacentral:misc_RNA from 1 species